rnacentral:rRNA from 1 species
UCGAACGAGAAAGCCCGCAAGGGUGAGUAAAGUGGCGUACGGGUGAGUAACACGUGGGUAAUCUACCUCUUGGUGGGGAAUAACCCUGGGAAACCGGGGCUAAUACCGCAUAAGCCCGAAAGGGGAAAGGUGCAAAUCGCCGAGAGAGGAGCCCGCGGCUGAUUAGCUAGUUGGUGGGGUAAGAGCCCACCAAGGCGAAGAUCGGUAGCCGGCCUGAGAGGGCACACGGCCACACUGGCACUGAAACACGGGCCAGACUCCUACGGGAGGCAGCAGUGGGGAAUCUUGCACAAUGGGGGAAACCCUGAUGCAGCGACGCCGCGUGAGCGAUGAAGCCUUUCGGGGUGUAAAGCUCUUUCGACCGGAACGAUAAUGACGGUACCGGGAGAAGAAGCUGCGGCUAGCUACGUGCCAGCAGCCGCGGUAAUACGUAGGCAGCGAGCGUUG